AGAGUUUGAUCAUGGCUCAGAAUAAACGUUGGCGGUGCGCCUUAUGCAUGCAAGUCGAACGGUCGAGUACGUAACUUGUUAUGUGCUUGAUAGUGGCGAACGGCUGAGUAACGCGUAAGUAACCUGCCUUGGAGUGGGAAAUAACUUGCCGAAAGGCGAGCUAAUGUCCCAUGUGGUAAUUAAGCAAAUGCUUGAUUAUUAAAGCCUUAGGGCGCUCCUAGAGGGGCUUGCGUCUGAUUAGCUAGUUGGCAGGGUAAUGGCCUACCAAGGCGAUGAUCCAGUAGCUGGUCUGAGAGGAUGGUCAGCCAGAUGGGGACUGGGACACGGCCCCAACUCCUACGGGAGGCAGCAGCAAGGAAUUUUGGGCAAUGAGCGAAAGCUUGACCCAGCGACACCGCGUGAGGGAAGAAGGCCUUCGGGUUGUAAACCUCUUUUCUUGGGGAAGAAUUUUGACGAUACCCAAGGAAUAAGCCUCGGCUAACUACGUGCCAGCAGCCGCGGUAAUACGUAGGAGGCGAACGUUAUUCGGAUUUACUGGGCGUAAAGGGAGCGUAGGCGGUUCCUUAAGUCAGAUGUGAAAUCUUCUGAUUCAAUCAGAAGGCGUCAUUUGAUACUAAGGGACUUGAGAGCAGCAGAGGGAAAUGGAAUCCCCGGUGUAGCGGUGAAAUGCGUAGAUAUCGGGGAGAACCACCAGUGGCGAAGGCGAUUUCCCAGGUUGUUUCUGACGCUGAGGCUCGAAAGCGUGGGGAGCGAAGCGGAUUAGAUACCCGCGUAGUCCACGCCCUAAACGGUGGACACUAGAUAUAGGGAGUAUCGACCCUUUCUGUGUCGAAGCUAACGCCUUAAGUGUCCCGCCUGGGGAGUACGACCGCAAGGCUGAAACUCAAAUGAAUUGACGG
rnacentral:rRNA from 1 species